AACGGUAGCACAGAGAGCUUGCUCUCGGGUGACGAGUGGCGGACGGGUGAGUAAUGUCUGGGAAACUGCCUGAUGGAGGGGGAUAACUACUGGAAACGGUAGCUAAUACCGCAUAACGUCGCAAGACCAAAGAGGGGGACCUUCGGGCCUCUUGCCAUCAGAUGUGCCCAGAUGGGAUUAGCUAGUAGGUGGGGUAACGGCUCACCUAGGCGACGAUCCCUAGCUGGUCUGAGAGGAUGACCAGCCACACUGGAACUGAGACACGGUCCAGACUCCUACGGGAGGCAGCAGUGGGGAAUAUUGCACAAUGGGCGCAAGCCUGAUGCAGCCAUGCCGCGUGUAUGAAGAAGGCCUUCGGGUUGUAAAGUACUUUCAGCGGGGAGGAAGGUGUUGCGGUUAAUAACCGCAGCAAUUGACGUUACCCGCAGAAGAAGCACCGGCUAACUCCGUGCCAGCAGCCGCGGUAAUACGGAGGGUGCAAGCGUUAAUCGGAAUUACUGGGCGUAAAGCGCACGCAGGCGGUCUGUCAAGUCGGAUGUGAAAUCCCCGGGCUCAACCUGGGAACUGCAUUCGAAACUGGCAGGCUAGAGUCUUGUAGAGGGGGGUAGAAUUCCAGGUGUAGCGGUGAAAUGCGUAGAGAUCUGGAGGAAUACCGGUGGCGAAGGCGGCCCCCUGGACAAAGACUGACGCUCAGGUGCGAAAGCGUGGGGA
rnacentral:rRNA from 1 species